GAUACAAUGGCAUCUCUCCACACCACUCCGCGCAUACGGCUCUCUCUCCUGCCUAGUGGAUGCUCUGUGACUCACGCCAACUGUGGCUUCUCGGGCUGAGCUGCUUCCUGCUGUAGAGGACCCUGUGACUUCCAGUUCCCUAUAGCUAAGUAUAUCAGCAGGGCCUUCCCAGGGACUCAGUACAGAGAGAAAUGCCAAGCUCACUUCAGAAGACUGCAGCACCGGCACAUAGCCUGAGGGCUCAAGCUGCUGAGCCCUCACCUCACAGCCUCCAUUUCACAUCUGGGAUGGGGACUGUGAGCUCACUGCUCUCUGCCCCCAUGCAUGUGUCUGACCCACCUCAGGGCGGAAACUGUGCCCUGCACCUUCCUGUGUCAGUCUGUCACUCUGCAAGGUUGAGAACCCUGAGCUAAGCACGGCCUCUCCCCAGGGUUCUUGGGACCUGGGCAACUGGACAGUGCCUCUGAAGAAGACAGCACUGCCCUGAGACAGACAUUCCACAGGUCACUGCCGGCCAUCUUAGGAGGCACUGAGCACAGCUGCAGGAGACAGCAUCAGAGAAACUUCUCCUCUGCAGGACUGGGGGAAGGGAGAGUGCUCUGGAGACUGUGAUGCUAACAUCCCAGAAUUCGGGCAAACCUGGUCCCUUUGCCAUGGUCUGCCACCUCCCCGACCCAGCAGGCAUCAUCCUGGGUGUGUAGGCGCUGCGCGAGUCUCUGCUCAGCUCUGAAAGCCCUCACCACACAGACGGCAGGUGUGGGGAGCUGCUGGGUCCACCCUCACCCCGAGGACCAGGAAGGCAAUGGUGGCACCACUGGAAGUUCUCAGAGUGUGCUAACCUUUGUCCUCUGCCAGGAACAAUCCCAUCCCUGUCUCCAGACAACUCUCCCCUGCUUCAUGCAACACAUUCUGAGCAGAGUUCUUGGGUGGUUCCUGGCUAGGGAAACUCCACUGCUCCCCUCAGGACAUCUGGCAAUGUGGCUGGAGAUUGGUUUGGUGUCACGUGUCACAUGCUGGCAGCUAGUGGAUGCAGGUCAAGGAUGCUGUUACACGCCCUAACAUCUACCACAUCUAGCCUUAAGGAAUACAUUAAAAAAAAAACCAAAAAAAAAAAAAAAAAACCUAACAAAAAAUUUUCUGCAGUAGCUGGCCGUGGUGACUCAGACCUGUAAUCCCAGCACUUGAGAGACAAAAGAUGGAUUGCUACAAGUUCAAGGCCAGGUCUGGUAGAGAGACCCUGACUCAAAACAUAAAAAUAAACAAAAUAACCACCUCCCCAAAUCCAUGAUAAAGUAUAUACAAAAUUUGUCUUUUUAACUAUUUCGAGAUGUACAUCGACUACAUUCAUAUUCUGUGGGCAUCACUCCACACAGAAGCUCUGCACCCCUGAAAUGGUAACUUCCGGCCUAUGUCUUACUCCGGCCUCGCCAUAUAGAGGACAGAUGUGGACAGCUGCUGGGUCCAGCCUCAUCCAGAGGGCUGGUGGCAUCUACUGUGGCAUCUACUGUGGCAUCCCCCAGCCCCCACUGUUUACAGAGCUCCCUCUCCCCAUUCCAGCACUCCCCCACGCCAGAGUAAUGGCUUCCUUACAGUGUGCCUCCCUGCUGGACUGGGGCCUCUGCCUUUCCUUCCUCUACCCCAGCAUCCUAGCACCCGGCGAAGGAGCUGGCAACCUUUCUCUUAUAAAAUCAAUAAACUUAAUUAUCUCAAGGCUCCUGAGGCGAUCUGUGGAGUCCUAGCUCAUCUGAGGAGGAUGGCUCCAAGGCUGGCCUCACACACAUCCCUACACUCCUCUGCAAGGCUCCCAGGGUGGCCCAAGUACAGGACAGCCAUCUGGAGGACAGUCACCUCCCUGGCUGAGUCUCCCUCACAGGAAAGUAAGCUUUACAGUAGGAAGGGCAGCCCCC